GCACGCAGGCGGUCUGUUAAGUCAGAUGUGAAAUCCCCGGGCUUAACCUGGGAACUGCAUUUGAAACUGGCAGGCUUGAGUCUCGUAGAGGGGGGUAGAAUUCCAGGUGUAGCGGUGAAAUGCGUAGAGAUCUGGAGGAAUACCGGUGGCGAAGGCGGCCCCCUGGACGAAGACUGACGCUCAGGUGCGAAAGCGUGGGGAGCAAACAGGAUUAGAUACCCUGGUAGUCCACGCCGUAAACGAUGUCGACUUGGAGGUUGUGCCCUUGAGGCGUGGCUUCCGGAGCUAACGCGUUAAGUCGACCGCCUGGGGAGUACGGCCG
rnacentral:rRNA from 1 species